GCGCUAUCAGAUGAGCCUGCGUCGGAUUAGCUAGUUGGUGGGGUAAAGGCCUACCAAGGCGACGAUCCGUAACUGGUCUGAGAGGAUGAUCAGUCACACCGGAACUGAGACACGGUCCGG
rnacentral:rRNA from 1 species